UACGGAGGGGGCUAGCGUUGUUCGGAAUUACUGGGCGUAAAGCGCACGUAGGCGGCUUUGUAAGUUAGAGGUGAAAGCCCGGGGCUCAACUCUGGAAUUGCCUUUAAGACUGCAUCGCUAGAAUUGUGGAGAGGUAAGUGGAAUUCCGAGUGUAGAGGUGAAAUUCGUAGAUAUUCGGAAGAACACCAGUGGCGAAGGCGACUUACUGGACACAUAUUGACGCUGAGGUGCGAAAGCGUGGGGAGCAAACAGG
rnacentral:rRNA from 1 species